rnacentral:rRNA from 1 species
AUUGAACGCUGGCGGCAUGCUUUACACAUGCAAGUCGAACGGUAACAGGGUGCUUGCACCGCUGACGAGUGGCGAACGGGUGAGUAAUGCGUCGGAACGUGCCGAGUAGUGGGGGAUAACGCAGCGAAAGUUGUGCUAAUACCGCAUACGUACUGAGGUAGAAAGUGGGGGACGUUCGGGCCUCACGCUAUUCGAUCGGCCGACGUCUGAUUAGCUGGUAGGUGAGGUAAAGGCUCACCUGGGCGACGAUCAGUAGCGGGUCUGAGAGGAUGAUCCGCCAAAGUGGGAAUGAGAGACGGCCCGGACUCCGAGGGGAGGCAGCAGAGGGGAAUUGUGGACAAUGGGCGAAAGCCUGAUACAGCCAUGCCGCGUGUCUGAAGAAGGAGUUCGGGUUGUAAAGGGCUUUUGUCAGGGAGGAAAACCCUAGUGCUAAUAACACUGGGGGAGGACAGUACCUGAAGAAUAAGCACCGGCUAACUACGUGCCAGCCGCCGCCGUAA